GACGAACGCUGGCGGCGUGCUUAACACAUGCAAGUCGAACGGAAAGGCCCUGCUUUUGUGGGGUGCUCGAGUGGCGAACGGGUGAGUAACACGUGAGUAACCUGCCCUUGACUUUGGGAUAACUUCAGGAAACUGGGGCUAAUACCGGAUAGGAGCACCUGCUGCAUGGUGGGGGUUGGAAAGUUUCGGCGGUUGGGGAUGGACUCGCGGCUUAUCAGCUUGUUGGUGGGGUAGUGGCUUACCAAGGCUUUGACGGGUAGCCGGCCUGAGAGGGGGACCGGCCCCAUUGGGACUGAGAUACGGCCCAGACUCCUACGGGAGGCAGCAGUGGGGAAUAUUGCACAAUGGGCGGAAGCCUGAUGCAGCAACGCCGCGUGCGGGAUGACGGCCUGCGGGUUGUAAACCGCUUUCGCCUGUGACGAAGCGUGAGUGACGGUAAUGGGUAAAGAAGCACCGGCUAACUACGUG
rnacentral:rRNA from 1 species